UUGCCUGCAAUGCAAAUGGUCCCCACUGAAGAAAAGAUGUCUAGAUGUGUAGAUAGGCCGGCAUUUGAUUCUUGAGUUGGCACUUUAUUCCCUGUCUCUUUUCCCCUGUUUCCUGUGUUUCAUACAGAAAAGUACGUGAUACUUCCUUCCUUCUGCUUGUGCAGCAGAGGGUCCUGGCCGUACCACGUACGGAAAUCAAGAUCAGAUGCCAACCAGGUAGGCGACAUCAAAUCAGAUCCUCUGAGCUUCUAUAUAGGCCCUGUUUGGAUACUCUAACCGGGUUAGAGGUUAGAGUUAGAUUCUAACCCUCAACUAACCCUAAACUAACUCUAACCCAAANNN
rnacentral:lncRNA from 1 species